GCUUAACACAUGCAAGUCGAACGAACCUUCGGGUUAGUGGCGGACGGGUGAGUAACGCGUGAGAAUCUGCCCUCAGGAGGGGGACAACAGCUGGAAACGGCUGCUAAUACCCCAUAUGCCGCGAGGUGAAAUGAAUUUCGCCUGAGGAUGAGCUCGCGUCUGAUUAGCUAGUUGGUGUAGGUAAUGGCUCACCAAGGCAUCGAUCAGUAGCUGGUCUGAGAGGAUGAUCAGCCACACUGGGACUGAGACACGGCCCAGACUCCUACGGGAGGCAGCAGUGGGGAAUUUUCCGCAAUGGGCGAAAGCCUGACGGAGCAACGCCGCGUGAGGGAUGAAGGCCUCUGGGCUGUAAACCUCUUUUAUCAAGGAAGAAGAUCUGACGGUACUUGAUGAAUAAGCCACGGCUAAUUCCGUGCCAGCAGCCGCGGUAAUACGGGAGUGGCAAGCGUUAUCCGGAAUUAUUGGGCGUAAAGCGUCCGCAGGCGGCCCUUCAAGUCUGCUGUUAAAAAGUGGAGCUUAACUCCAUCAUGGCAGUGGAAACUGUUGGGCUUUGAGUGUGGUAGGGGCAGAGGGAAUUCCCCGGUGUAGCGGUGAAAUGCGUAGAUAUCGGGAAGAACACCCAGUGGCGAAGGCGCUCUGCUGGGCCAUCACUGACGCUCAUGGACGAAAGCCAGGGGAGCGAAAGGGAUUAAGAUACCCCCUGUAUUCCUGGGCCGUAAACGAUGAAACACUUAGGUGUCGGGGGGAAUCGACCCCCUCGGUGUCGUAGCC
rnacentral:rRNA from 1 species